GAUGAACGCUGGCGGCGUGCCUAAUACAUGCAAGUCGAGCGAACGGACGAGAAGCUUGCUUCUCUGAUGUUAGCGGCGGACGGGUGAGUAACACGUGGAUAACCUACCUAUAAGACUGGGAUAACUUCGGGAAACCGGAGCUAAUACCGGAUGAUAUUUUGAAACGCAUGGUUCAAAAGUGAAAGACGGUCUUGCUGUCACUUAUAGAUGGAUCCGCGCUGCAUUAGCUAGUUGGUAAGGUAACGGCUUACCAAGGCAACGAUGCAUAGCCGACCUGAGAGGGUGAUCGGCCACACUGGAACUGAGACACGGUCCAGACUCCUACGGGAGGCAGCAGUAGGGAAUCUUCCGCAAUGGGCGAAAGCCUGACGGAGCAACGCCGCGUGAGUGAUGAAGGUCUUCGGAUCGUAAAACUCUGUUAUUAGGGAAGAACAUAUGUGUAAGUAACUGUGCACAUCUUGACGGUACCUAAUCAGAAAGCCACGGCUAACUACGUG
rnacentral:rRNA from 1 species